rnacentral:rRNA from 1 species
UGUAGUCAUAUGCUUGUCUCAAAGAUUAAGCCAUGCAUGUCUAAGUAUAAGCAAUUAUACCGUGAAACUGCGAAUGGCUCAUUAAAUCAGUUAUCGUUUAUUUGAUAGUACCUUACUACUUGGAUAACCGUGGUAAUUCUAGAGCUAAUACAUGCUGAAAACCCCAACUUCGGGAGGGGUGUAUUUAUUAGAUAAAAAACCAACGCCCUUCGGGGCUUCUUGGUGAUUCAUGAUAACUUCACGGAUCGCAUGGCCUUGCGCCGGCGACGGUUCAUUCAAAUUUCUGCCCUAUCAACUUUCGAUGGUAAGGUAUUGGCUUACCAUGGUUUCAACGGGUAACGGGGAAUUAGGGUUCGAUUCCGGAGAGGGAGCCUGAGAAACGGCUACCACAUCCAAGGAAGGCAGCAGGCGCGCAAAUUACCCAAUCGCGACACGGGGAGGUAGUGACAAUAAAUACUGAUACAGGGCUCUUUUGGGUCUUGUAAUUGGAAUGAGUACAAUUUAAACCUCUUAACGAGGAACAAUUGGAGGGCAAGUCUGGAAUCG